rnacentral:rRNA from 1 species
CCUACGGGCGGCAGCAGUGAGGAAUAUUGGUCAAUGGGCGAGAGCCUGAACCAGCCAAGUCGCGUGAGGGAAGACGGUCCUAUGGAUUGUAAACCUCUUUUGUCAAGGGACAAAAUCAGGCUCGAGAGCCUUACCGAGGGUACUUGAAGAAAAAGCAUCGGCUAACUCCGUGCCAGCAGCCGCGGUAAUACGGCGGAUGCGAGCGUUAUCCGGAUUUAUUGGGUUUAAAGGGUGCGUAGGCGGACUGUUACUUCAGCGGUAAAAUCCCGGGGCUCAACCCCGGCGAGCCGUUGAAACUGGCUGUCUUGAGAUGUCGAGAGGUAUGCGGAAUGCGCAGUGUAGCGGUGAAAUGCUUAGAUAUUGCGCAGAACUCCGAGUGCGAAGGCAGCAUACCGGCGGCGAUCUGACGCUGAGGCACGAAAGCGUGGGUAUCGAACAGGAUUAGAUACCCCAGUAGUC